rnacentral:rRNA from 1 species
AGAGUUAAACAGUACGUGAAAUUGUUGAAAGGGAAACGAUUGAAGUCAGUCGUACCGAUGGGCAUUCAGCCUCGUGAGUGCGAUUACGUCGGGUGUUGGGGAGCUUAACCGCCCUCGCGCUUGGGUAUUUGUGCUCUACGGGUGUACUUGUCCGUAUGGUAGGUUAACAUCAAUUUUGGUCGUCAUAAAAUGACGGGAGGAAUGUGGCUUCGAUCUCGUAUUGAAGUGUUAUAGCCUCUGGUAGAUGUGAUGACCGGGAUUGAGGAUUGCAACGAACCCCUCGGGGCCACCUGUCUGGCCUCUGGUGGACUCUCUGGUGCCGAAAGCGUGCUUACGGUCGUCGGAGUUGGCUGCCAAAAGGUUAGAACGGGUUGAAUUCGUUAAGGAUGUUGACGUAAUGGCUUUAAACGACC